CAGCAUGAAUGCGGCAGCUUGGCCUCAAGGACUCCAAGAUCUGGUCUGCCCUUCCUCUUUCCCGUCCAUGUGUCUGUCGAGCCGAGCCUCAAAGAUUGAGAUUUGUUUCAUUCUCCCCGUCCGGUCCAUGUGUGUCGAGCAUCAAGCUUUUUUUGCCCUAGUAAAUAAAUUGCCCAAUUUAAAGAGAUGACACACUUCAAUUAAUCAUCAUAGCUGCCUUCUUCUUGCAACAUACAUGUAAUUAUACUGCACAUCCCGAAUCGAAUCACUGGUAAAAAUGCGAAUCAGAUAAUAUGGCCUAAUAAAAUUCAACCUAGGCAGACAUUAUUAGAAAAAUAAAGGAUAGAUAAUAAUAGUGUAUUGGCACGCCUAUGGUUCUACUAAUUGAUUUCAGUGGGUUUGAUUGAUCUUGUUGUUUGGCAGAUUCCUCCAUAUGCCCACCAAAAACAUGACUCGUGGGAUAGAAGCAUCACCAUCUUUUUACUAGGAACAUAUAACAUAAAAACUUUGACCAAAUCAACAACCUUUUUUAUAGUUUAACCGCUAAGCAUAACAGCCAUGUUUUAAUCAACUAAAAUAGUCCAUAUGGUGAACUCGGAUCAGUUUAGACUCCGGAUGAUUUGUCAUCACAAAAUGACUUAAAGAACAACUGCAGUUUUGUAAUUUUCAGUUUUAAACCAUACAUGCACCCCUGUGUUCAAGUAUUUCAUCAUUAGGGAAUAAGUAUGGGAGGAGGAUCUUGUAUCUAUUUCAUCACUAGAGAAGAAAUAAACACUGAUUGCUUGUAUUUUCUAGUUUGCAGGCACAGAUGAUGUAUGCGGCAGGCGACGAUGAUGCCGACGCCAACGCCGAGGAGGACGAGGACCCGAGCUCCAGCCUGACCAGCAUGGUCCCUGCUGCCUGCCAGUAAUGACUCCCUGCAGGUAGCACCUCCCUCUGCCCACUCACUUGCUAGUCUCUCAGUAGGAUGCGAUUGUUCUAGUAGCUAUCAUUUACACGGCGGCGCAUAUAUGGAUUUGCCCAUGGUUCCAUGAAUUGUGUAAUACUAGGAGAUAUGGGUGAGGAACUGAAAAUAUAAUAUGCUUCCAUGAAUUGUCCUGCAGAUAUGCGCCAUAUGGGAGAUCCUUCUCGCCGGACUUCAGGAGAAGGCGGUCCCUCGGCGACGGGUUUGAGAGCUAGCGUGGGUUUUGCCAGACCAUUCAUGCUACCCAGAUGGGAUUGUCGCUCAAUAUCGG
rnacentral:lncRNA from 1 species